rnacentral:rRNA from 1 species
UCAAGUACCCUGUGAGGGAAAGUUGAAAAGCACUCUGAAAAGAGAGUUCAUAAGAGCGUGAAACUGUACUCUGCAAAGCGAAUGGUUGGGUGAUAUGAGCGAUCGUUGAUCAGGUGUUUUUCGGAAGACACCGUAAUUGACAGCGCUCAAUGUUGCUUGGUGUGUCGAUGGCAGCGCAUCGUCGUGUCGAAGUGGAGCGUCUUCGGGUGCUUCCAUGAGCGCGACGAUGUUCGGUUAAAUUCACGUUUAACUGCUGACAUUGACACAUUGUUGGGAAUAAACGGCGAGACUUGACAAACUCAUUUGGGAUGCAGCGGGCUUUGUAGUCUGUUGUAUACCAGUGAGAAAUGUGUUCGAGGGUUCAGUGAAGGCAACGUCUUUGCUAUGAACUAUUCGACCCGUCUUGAAACACGGGACCAAGGAAU